CCUACGGGUGGCUGCAGUGGGGAAUAUUGGACAAUGGGCGAAAGCCUGAUCCAGCCAUGCCGCGUGUGUGAAGAAGGCCUUCGGGUUGUAAAGCACUUUCAGUGGGGAAGAAAGCCUUGGGGCUAAUACCCUCGAGGAAGGACAUCACCCACAGAAGAAGCACCGGCUAACUCCGUGCCAGCAGCCGCGGUAAUACGGAGGGUGCGAGCGUUAAUCUGAAUUACUGGGCGUAAAGCGCGCGUAGGCGGUCUGAUAAGCCGGUUGUGAAAGCCCCGGGCUCAACCUGGGAACGGCAUCCGGAACUGUCAGGCUAGAGUGCAGGAGAGGAAGGUAGAAUUCCCGGUGUAGCGGUGAAAUGCGUAGAGAUCGGGAGGAAUACCAGUGGCGAAGGCGGCCUUCUGGACUGACACUGACGCUGAGGUGCGAAAGCGUGGGUAGCAAACAGGAUUAGAUACCCUAGUAGUC
rnacentral:rRNA from 1 species